CUGGUGGAUUAGUGGCGAACGGGUGAGUAACACGUGAGUAACCUGCCCCUGACUCUGGGAUAAGCGUUGGAAACGACGUCUAAUACCGGAUACGAGCUGCGAUCGCAUGAUCAGCAGCUGGAAAGAAUUUCGGUCUGGGAUGGACUCGCGGCCUAUCAGCUAGUUGGUGAGGUAACGGCCCACCAAGGCGACGACGGGUAGCCGGCCUGAGAGGGUGACCGGCCACACUGGGACUGAGACACGGCCCAGACUCCUACGGGAGGCAGCAGUGGGGAAUAUUGCACAAUGGGCGCAAGCCUGAUGCAGCAACGCCGCGUGAGGGACGACGGCCUUCGGGUUGUAAACCUCUUUUAGCAGGGAAGAAGCGAAAGUGACGGUACCUGCAGAAAAAGCACCGGCUAACUACGUGCCAGCAGCCGCGGUAAUACGUAGGGUGCAAGCGUUGUCCGGAAUUAUUGGGCGUAAAGAGCUCGUAGGCGGUUUGUCGCGUCUGCUGUGAAAACGCGAGGCUCAACCUCGCGCCUGCAGUGGGUACGGGCAAACUAGAGUGCGGUAGGGGAGAUUGGAAUUCCUGGUGUAGCGGUGGAAUGCGCAGAUAUCAGGAGGAACACCAAUGGCGAAGGCAGAUCUCUGGGCCGUAACUGACGCUGAGGAGCGAAAGCAUG
rnacentral:rRNA from 1 species